UUGGCCACGCGAUCGCGAUCGGACGGUGGCCGCGAUGCAGCGUUGACAUCGAACCGAGUAGGUAGUUUCCGGGGUACACCUAUGACCUAUCCACAACGAGAGAGAGAGAGAGUUCCCCAUUUCUGCCCCAGCUCCAUCGCCUUGUCUCCACCGAAUCCCUCCUCCUCCGCGGCAGAUUUCGUCGAUCCGCGCCGUCGUGGGCGAGAUUGGAUGGAGCUACUACCGGGGAGCGGCGCUCCUUGCUGCUCGUCAUCGGUAGCAUCUACAUCCUCCCGCCAACAUUGUCGGUGAUGGACGAGAUUCGGGCGUCAUUCGUGAGGGGACGAUCUACCACGCAGUGGUCUCGGUCGCCGCCCUGGCCGGCCCGCUGCACGCCAUUGUCGUCAUCAUCGACCUUCCCGUGCGUAGCUUCCACUGUUAUCCAUAGAGCCGACCAGCUAACCGUGGCGUGAACCAACCUGGCAGAGCGGCAGAGGAGCAGGUUGCCCGCCUCGAUUCGGCAGGAGGCGUGGUGCCUCGACGGCUCCGGACUGCCGCACCUGCCUGGUCUGGUUCGAUCAUCAGCAGUAUAGGUUGGAUUUUACAGCGGUUUUUGGCUGCUCCUCCGGCGAGGUUUUAUAGGACAGCGACGGUGUUCAUGAGGCUACAACUUCCUUCACGCACCAAUUGACAUCAGGUUAUUUGAUCAUUUUGUUAGGGGUUUUCUUUCGGUCUGCUGUCUUGUUCAGGGACCUGUCCCUUUGUUAGAUGUAAUCUAAUGGCUUAUUCUGUGGAUUACAUGGGAGUUGAUGUCAAUUAGAUGUCACUCAGAUUUAAGUGUCAACUAGAUGGAACUUCUUUUAUGUGUCUGAUGUCUGUACAAUGUUACUCAAGUAUGGAUUCAGCCAGAUAGUGAACUAGGUGGUACUUUCUCCCGUGUCAGAUGUUAGGUGUUGGAGAUUUUCAUAUUCUGUGUAGAUGUAACCCAGGUUUACCUCUUCAGUUAUAGCUUUGCACAUGCUAAACUCCAUGCAGACUGCUAGACGGAAGCUAGCUUGUCCUGUUGCAACAUUUUUUGUGAUUUAAACUUCUCGAUGAAAGCUAGAUGGAAGCUGUUAGUUGUAGCUUAUUCGACUUAAAAGAAGCUACUAUUGCAAUGUUUCUCCAUCUAUAUAUAUGGGACUAUCUCUGAAUUUACUACUCCCUCCAGUCCAUAAUAAGUAUCGUGACUUUAAUUUAAAUUUGAACGAAUUUGAACUAAAACCACGACACUAUAUGGAUUGGAGGGAGUAGUUUUUAUUUACAUGAUCGUGGGGAAAGUUACAGCUUGUUUCUACUUUCUAUUCUACUGAAAUUGCAUAGCAGAAAAUGCUCCCUUUUCCAUUGCAGUGCAAAAAAUGCUAAUUUUACAUGGUAUGUGAGAAAAGUUACACCUACUGAUAAAAUUUAUUUUUCUGCAUAGGAUUUGAUCUGUCAAAAAUAGUUGUAAAUACAAAUUCAAAUAUAAUCAAAGGAAGAAUAUGAAGGGGUAGGGUUAAAUGGAUGUAACAAGGUGGGGCUAAUGAGGGGCAGAUAUAUCUUUUGUAGUUACAUCAUCGAAAUUCUUGAGGUUAUGUUUCUAUAUACAAAUAGAUGUAAUUCAGAUACAGGAUGUUUUUUUUCUGCAUGUAGAUUUUGCACUGACAUGUAAAAGAUGUAAUUGCGAAUUUAAAUGUAAACGGCCUAAGGAGUAGUUCUUGCAACACAAAUCUGCAUAAAUACAACACAAAAGUUACUUCCCUCUCAAAACACAAAUUGUAAAAAGAAAUGAGUUUUUUUUGCAUAUGUUGUUCCUGUCAAUAUCUAUUUAUAAUAAACUAUUACAUCUGUAUGAAACUACAAAGUACAGUAUUAGCAAUUACAUCUUUUUUUCUGAGGUUAGUUGUUCUGUGUGUGAGGAGCAUUAAGGAUAUGCAAUGUAGGAAGAUAAUUUCAUAAUAUAAACAUUCAUCCUUAGCAAUCAGGGCAACAGAGAAGCAUAAACAUAGCUUCAUGAUCCUUUUUUCGUUCAGGUUAAAUGCAAACGUUCUAGCAUUAGUAGUUAAACCUUGGUUACUACUCUGCAUCCCCAUGUGGAUUACAUGUGAAUAACUGAAUAUACAGGGAAUCAAGUUUUUUUAUGCUCCGACACUGGUUUACAUUUUUUCCCCAAUGGUGCAAUGUAUCAUAAUUAGCAUGUUGCCCCUAGUUUGGUCACUUCUUCUGUACGUAUCCACUUUUGAGUCAACAUAUUUUGUGACAAGUGCUUUCUUUUCAUCUUGUUUAGCUAAUCAAAAUUACUAUGCAAGAUAGUAGGUGCAAUUUUUAAUCAUACUACAUGUAACCUAAUAUUUACGCUCCCAGUAAUAUAGUUGCCUUUUCCUGUGCAGAAUCCACCUGCUAAGUAGAUCAGAUGUAACCACUAAUUUAUUUUCUAUAUCUUUUACUCAAUCCACAUUACCAUGUAAUGUACUAGAUGCAGUUAUUAAUCAUACUUGAUGUAUGCUAGUAUUCAUGCUGCCUAGUAAUAUAAUUGCUUUUUCUACACAGAGUCCAUCCGAGGCAAAGUACAUGUAACUACUAAUUUCUCUCCUCUAUUAUUAUAGUCAAUCCACUAUUUUUUUACUAGAUUUCAUCUAAGGAUUAUGAUAGAUCAAAUUCGUUGCAGUCACGUCUUUUUUCAGUUAUUAAUAUUAACAGAUGUAACCAGUUGUCUUUUAUGCUUCCAGUAGUUUCUUCAUAUCCUGAAACUACUAUAUUUAUGUAAACUACAUGUAAUUACAGAACCCCAUAUAAACUACUGAUGAAGGAUGUGACUCAUGGCUACUUAUACCAAAAUUAGUUUCAUAAAAAAGGAUGUGACUAAUAUCACUGUCCUAGUACCCCAUGUUCAUUGCAUGUAACAUACCAGCUGUUUCAUCUACCCAUCAUGUACAUGUAAUUUUCCAUAUUCUUAUAUGUAAUAUUAUUGAUUUUUUUGGUCAUUACUCAUGCCAUGGAUGUAUCAAACCAUGGUUCUAGGAAAAGGACGAUGCAUGUAACUGUGGUAGCAUUGAGAAUGUCAUGGAUGGUGGAGGAACAAAAUCAACAGAUGUAGCAGAUCCUCAAGUAACAGAUGCAGCAGGAACAACACAUUGUAAAUGUAGCAGGAACAACACACUGUAAAAUGGAGAAGAAGGACAAUGCAUGUAACUGGGGUAGCAUUGAGAACAUGUCAUGGAUGGCGGAGGAGCAAAGUCAAACAGAUGUAGCAGAUCCCCAGGUAAUGUAGCAGGAACACGCUAUAACAUGGGGAAGAAGUACGAUGCAUGUAACUGGGUAGCAUUGAGAACACAUUAUGGAUAGUAGAGAAACAAAGUCAUUAGAUGUAGUAGAUCAUCAGGUAACAGAUGUAGCAGGAACAAGUUGUAGAUCUCCCUUUUGAUUCAGGAGGAACAGUCAGGGAUGUAGCAGAUCCUCCAGAAUUUGGGGCAAACCUACCUAGAUGUAAACGUCCUAUUCUUCCUCAAGUUAUUUGUAAGAGCGAGAUGCCCUCCAGAUUUGUUUUAGAAAGGGGGUCUCAUGUUGCGUUA